rnacentral:rRNA from 1 species
AUGUUGGUCGCCGGCGGCUGGUUCACGCGGGUGCUGUCGUCGUUGACGAACCUCCUGUUCAUGUGGUCCAUGGCGCAGCAGUGCGUUCCAGACAUUGUCAGGGACUACGUCGACACCCUCAUCAGCCGGAUCAAGGACGCCAUAUCCCCCUACGACACCAUCACCCUGGACGAGCACGACCCCGACUGCUUCGGCCGCAACGAGGCCUACGAAACCGCCGAGGCCUACCUCAGCGCCACCUGCGCGUCCAGCGCCCGCUGCCUCCUCGCCACCCUCGACUUCGACGACGACCGCAUGAGCCUCACCAUGGACGACCACGAGGUCGUCGACAACUUCCGCGGCGCCGACAUCCGCUGGAACAAGAUCAAGGUGUUUCCCCGCGUCACAACCAUCAUCACCAAGGGGCCCGCCCGCAGCGAGGAGCGCCGCAUGUACCGCCUCACCUUCCACCGCCGCCACCGGGGGCUCGUCGAGGACGCUUACCUGCCGCACGUCCUCGCCGAGGGUCGUGACGCCAUCAGCAGAAACCGCCACCGCAGCCUCCACACCAACAAGCCCAAGGACGACUGGUCCGGGGACUACGGCUGGAGCAGCCUCAAGUUCGAGCACCCCUCCACCUUCUCCACCCUCGCCAUGGACCCCACCAAGAAGCAAGAGAUUCUUGACGAUCUCGAGAUGUUCCGUGACGGCAAGGACUAUUACGCCUCAAUCGGCAAGACAUGGAAGCGAGGUUACCUCUUGUUUGGGCCUCCUGGCACCGGCAAGUCCACCAUGAUCGCGGCCAUGGCCAACUUCCUCAACUACGACGUCUAUGACCUGAGCUGA